GACAGAGGCCUCAAGCGUUAGGCGGAAUCACUGGGCUUAAAGCGUGUGUAGGCGGGUCGUUAAGUAACUUGUGAAAUCCCACGGCUCACCCGUGGAACGGCUGGGUAUACUGGCGAUCUUGGGCCAACUAGGGGCGACUGGAACAAGCGGUGGAGCGGUGAAAUGCGUAGAUAUCGCUUGGAACGCCGAAGGUGAAAACAGGUCGCUGGGGUUGUGCCGACGCUGAGACACGAAAGCCAGGGGAGCAAACGGG
rnacentral:rRNA from 1 species